ACACUUCAUCAAAGAAGAUGGAUGGCAAAUAAACACAUAAAAAGAUGCUUUAAAUAUUAAUAAUUAGGGAAAUGCAAAUGAAAACCACAUCGAAAUAUCUCUAUAUGCCUUUUAAAAUGGCAAACAAACAAAGCAGCAACAAAAAGCAGCAGCUGACAAUUCUGAGAGCCGGCAAGGAACAGAGCAACUGGAAUUCUCAGGAGGGUUGCCUUUCCCCUUUUGUGUGGCCUCCAGUCUGAAACAACAAUCUGUCGUUUGCACUGUGUCCCCGAGUCGUUCUGAAGAAGAAGGUCUGAGUCAGAGCUCUGCUACUUACUGCUGUGGGACCUUGGACGAAACAUCUUCAAUUUCUUCAGUGAUCAGCCGUGUCUCAAAUGGUACAGCUUCCAGAUCAAUCCCGUUUUGACUUCUACUUCUCGGGUAGGCUGCAGUUUAUCACUGUUGACAUUUUGGGACCAUGACAAAGCAGUUAAAGAAGAUGUUUUUGAUCAGUCUAGCCGUGUGUGUGUGUGUGUGUGUGUGUGUGUGUGUGCAUUUGUGUCCUAAAUCAUACAGUACUGGUGCCUGACAAAUUGACUCAGAGAUAUCGCUGACUUCAAAAGGAGGGUUCCUGACUUUCAUAGUGCUAAUAAUCUUCCCAGGUGGUCUUUGUGAAACGUUUGAUUCAUCGAACCCACUUCAAGUAUUUUGUGAUCACCUUCCACAUUCCUUAACCUUAAUUCCUUAAUUAAGGAAUUCCUUAAUUCCUUCCACAAGGCCCAGCUGGCUUUGUUUUGCUUGGAAAGUUCCUAAAGGGGAGUUUGGAUCUACGACCAUUGAGGGGCUAAGAGCCAAAAAGGUUGCUCCCAUUCAGCUUCCUUUUCAAACCUUGUUUCUUUUUUUCUGUUUCUAAAAUGCCAUGAGUGCGUCGAUCAGCUUUGGCCGCAGUAACCAACGACAUCAAAUUUCAACGUUACAACAACGACAUUUGUCUCUUGCUAUGACUCUACCCCAGGCUGUGGAUUGGCUUCAAGGUUUCUCCUCACUGUGGACUGUGAGUCUCCACAUGUCUUCUCAGACAUGAGAUUCAGGCUAAAGGAGCAACGCCUACCUGCCGCACGCUGUUCUCUUGUGGCAUAAACCAAGAACAAGGGACUGGCGGGAAUGUAGGAGGCCUCUUCUGCUUCUGGUUGGAACUGGAAUUCCAUGGAUUUUCUUCUGGUUAAGGUGAGGCAAAUGACCACGCUCAAAGUCAGUGGGGUGGGAUGUAUAUUCCUUUCAUUGGAGACAGCGAAGUUACAUGGCAAGGGGUGAGGUUGCAUAACUUUUCUUAUAAAAGAGAAUAUGAAGCGCUGUGACAAUAAUAUAACUUCUUUCACUAUGUGCUGCUAUGUACCAGGCAAAGUAAUUCUAUUGCAAUUUUUUUGAGGCUGGUUUUUCUGCAAUGGGCAGAAGUCUGUGCAUCUGAUAUGUAAACUUAGAGACUCUGAUGUGCUCAUUCCUGUACUUCCACAAUAAAUUCUGUAAAAGUGUGAA